rnacentral:rRNA from 1 species
AACGAACGCUGGCGGCAUGCCUAACACAUGCAAGUCGAACGAGACCUUCGGGUCUAGUGGCGCACGGGUGCGUAACGCGUGGGAACCUGCCCUUAGGUUCGGAAUAACUCCCCGAAAGGGGUGCUAAUACCGGAUAAUGUCUUCGGACCAAAGAUUUAUCGCCUUUGGAUGGGCCCGCGUUGGAUUAGCUAGUUGGUAGGGUAAAAGCCUACCAAGGCGACGAUCCAUAGCUGGUCUGAGAGGAUGAUCAGCCACACUGGGACUGAGACACGGCCCAGACUACUACGGGAGGAAGCAGGGGGGAAGAUUGGACAAUGGGCGAAGGACUGACCCACCAAUGCCGCGGUAGUGAUGAGGGCGUUAGGGUUGUAAAGCUCUUUUACCAGGGAUGACAAUGACAGUACCGGGAGAAGAAGCGCCGGCGAACUCCGUG